rnacentral:rRNA from 1 species
UACGGAGGGUGCAAACGUUGCUCGGAAUCAUUGGGCGUAAAGCGCACGUAGGCGGUCCGCUAAGUCGGAUGUGAAAGCCCUCGGCUUAACCGAGGAAGUGCAUUCGAAACUGACGGUCUUGAGUAUGGAAGAGGGUCGCGGAAUUCCCGGUGUAGAGGUGAAAUUCGUAGAUAUCGGGAGGAACACCAGUGGCGAAGGCGGUGCCCUGGGCCAAUACUGACGCUGAGGUGCGAAAGCGUGGGGAGCAAACAGG